rnacentral:tRNA from 1 species
GGGCCUAUAGUCGAGUGGUAAGAUGUUCCCUUGACGUGGGAAAGAUUCCCGGUUCGAUUCCGGGUAGGCCCA